rnacentral:rRNA from 1 species
AUACCCGAUGCGUCUGAAGGUACCUCCAAAGGAAGCUCCGGCUAACUCCGUGCCAGCAGCCGCGGUAAUACGGAGGGAGCAAACGUUGUUCGGAUUUACUGGGUGUAAAGGGUGCGUAGGCGGCUACGUGUGUCAGAGGUGAAAGCUCACGGCUCAACCGUGGAACUGCCUUUGAAACUGCGUAGCUUGAGUCUGAGAGAGGAUGGUGGAAUUCCUGGUGUAACGGUGAAAUGUGCAGAUAUCAGGAAGAACACCGGUGGCGAAGGCGGCCAUCUGGCUCGGUACUGACGCUGAGGCACGAAAGCUAGGGUAUCGAACGGGAUUAGAUACCCCGGUAGUCCUAGCCGUAAACGAUGUCCACUAGGUGUCGGAGGUCCUACCCCUUCGGUGCCGGAGCUAACGCAUUAAGUGGACCACCUGGGGAGUACGCUCGCAAGGGUGAAACUCAAAGGAAUUGACGGGGGCCCGCACAAGCGGUGGAGCAUGUGGUUUAAUUCGAUGCAACGCGAAGAACCUUACCUGGGCUUGACAUGCAGGGGACAGGUGUAGAGAUACACCCUUCUUCGGACUCCUGUACAGGUGCUGCAUGGCUGUCGUCAGCUCGUGUCGUGAAAUGUUGGGUUAAGUCCCGCAGCGAGCGCAACACUUGUCCUUAGUUGCCAGCACGUCAUGGUGGGAACUCUAGGGAGACUGCCGGUGACAAACCGGAGGAAGGUGGGAACGACGUCAAGUCAUCAUGGCCCUUACGUCCAGGGCUACACACGUGCUACAAUGGCACAUACAGAGGGCAGCGAACCCGCGAGGGGAAGCCAAUCCCAAAAAGUGUGCCUCAGUUCGGAUCGCAGUCUGCAACUCGACUGCGUGAAGUCGGAAUCGCUAGUAAUCGCGGAUCAG